GCUGUAUCAGUUUUCUGACACGGCUUGCAGUAGAGCUGCAGAAAUCCAGACAGUCACAGCAUGGGAAUGGGAGUAAAGGCAGGGAAAAAACAAACAAACAAACAAACAAAAAAACACAAGCCUGGGGAAGAGGAAGAAGCAGCAGCAACUUUAAGCUGAUGGCCUAAUCUUCUUGCACGAGAUCUACUUUGUCUUCACCUGCAACAGUCUUUGUGUAACAAGCCAGCCUGUCCAGACCCAAAAGUAAUGCUGAGCUUUUAAAUGCAGUUUUCUCUAUGCUGCAGGAAUGAAGCUGAAAAACAUAAGAGCUUAUCCACUGAAAACUCUAUCUUAAUAAAUUCACAGCUGGAAAACCAUUCUCAUUUUUUUCUUUGGAAAAUCCAUUCAGACUGAGACCACUGCAGACAUCAGUGGAGACAGCUUUCGAAGUCAUCCUGGAUUUCUGACUCCACUUUGGAAAUAACUGUGUCUCUUCUCAAUAGGUAGUGUGCUAUUUCUUGUCUUUGGUGAAUCUGUUUUGCAGCAAUGUUGCAUUCAGCAUCUCUCAAUAGUACUGCCUUCAAAGUAAGACAAUUUGUAAAUCUCAGCCUGAAGGAUCUCCAUACACUCACUUUUAUAUUUUGUAUGCAGAAAAAUGCAUUGGUAAUCUUUACUUGAUAGAAGCAAGGAUGUGAAUGUCUUAUUAGUGAGCUGAUAGGAACCAGACACAUAUACAUGAAGAACAUGAUGUAUUUGGAGAUAGUAAUUACCUCAGCUUUGUCUCUGAAGGAUUCUGUAAGCACAGACCAUUGCUUUUAACCAAGUUUUUUGGAAGAUUUUGGCAUUAACUUCUCUAUUUCCCUUUGUCCCAGCCCUGAGAAAGAAUAACACUUUCCCAGCACAUGCAGGUAACUUCCUACCAAAUCCUAGUGGCUGAAAGGGAAGAGGGUGAAUACAGCAUAGAGAUACAGUUAAAUCUAACAUGCACUGUCAAGAAGAGAAACCAAGACAAAUACAUAACAUGGCAGCCACCAGAUCAAAUAUCCAGAGAAAGAAUUACUAUGUAAGAACAAAAGGAAAGUAACAAAAUGAUUUGUUCAGUGAAUGAGGAACAGGAGAAAAUAUAAAGAAAAAAAGAUGGCUUUCCUGACUGUCAGUUACUGCUUUGAAAUUUUCCUUGGAUGAUUAAUGCAAUUUAAUACAAUUUUAGAAGAAAUAUAAUGGAGAGAUCACUCAGAAUAGGAAGAGAGAAGACCUGGAUUUGGGCUUUUUGUAGGGACUCCUUAGAAUAAUAAUAGUGCUUGGCCCUUUCCCAAACUCUAUAAAUAACCCCAGAAAGCACAAUACCAAGAUUUUGGAAGUGACAUAAAAUAAGAACCUGUUGAGAGCAAAGCAGCAAAAUUUUUGGCCUAUUUUUUUCCUUUGAGUGCAGAAUCACAAUAUACAGCAGAGGGAUUUAAUUCCUUGGUGACAGUUACUCUAUAAUAUUUCCGUUCUAAGCAGGUCCACUAAUUGUCGCAAUGUGAGAUUUUAAUGCAUUAAUGAUUGUUCACUGUUAAUGUUAGUUCAGUGACCUUACGCAGCUUGAGCUGAAGAUAUUUAUAGUCUGGCACUGCCUGAAGUCUUGAAUGUUGAAUGGGAACACAGUAAGUGCUUCCUUCAGUUGUUCAUUUCUGACGAUCUGCUCAGACUCUUGGCAUUCCAUCUCUUGGCUGGCCUAUUUUGUCUUGUAUGCACUAAUGUUGACAGCAUAUUUAAAACAACAUUAGUAAGCAUGGCCUGAUGACAGUACAGAGCUACAUUAUCCUAGGUCAGUUUCCAGUACAGGAAUUUUAAAGCACUGCAGAAGAAGCAAGCGCAGGGCAGCAGAAAUUUAAGCAAUUCUAGAGACCCUAAUGGAGUCUGAUGAAUCAAACAACAAACAGAAAGGUGCAUCUAAAUCAUUUCUCUGCCAAGCAGGACUAAGGCUUGGCAGAGCCUUAGUGACUUCACUGCUCUUCAGAAGAAGGAAC
ensembl:lncRNA